CCCUUAGACGUUCUGGGCCGCACGCGCGCUACACUGACCAGUGCAACAAGCAUCCGUCCUUGGCCGACAGGCCCGGGCAAUCUUUGAACGCUGGUCGUGAUGGGGAUAGACUUUUGCAAUUUUUGGUCUUCAACGAGGAAUUCCUAGUAAACGCAAGUCAUCAACUUGCAUUGAUUACGUCCCUGCCCUUUGUACACACCGCCCGUCGCUCCUACCGAUUGAAUGGUCCGGUGAAGCGUUCGGACCGUGGCCUUUGGACGGUUCGCCGUCUGUUGGCUGCGGGAAGUUCGUUAAACCUUAUCAUUUAGAGGAAGGAGAANUCGUANCA
rnacentral:rRNA from 1 species